GUAGAACUGGCACUUGCUGAUGUCACUUCCAUAGUUGUUCAAGCAAUCUUGUAAGGCCUUGGAUUGGCCACCACACACAUCACCAUAAUUGUUUGUGUUCUGCACUGGAGUAGCUGCAGUUUCAUGAUGGACAACUCGUGGGCCCAGGACAGCAUCCACAGCCCUGUGAGCCACGGCACCACCGGUACCGAAAGCCAAGCCAUCAACAACAGCAGCACCAAAACCUCCCAUCAUGGAUCCAUUAGCACCAUGUACAGGAGGCGGUGGUGGAGCUGGAGCAGCUACAGUAAACAACCCCAUUUAGCCAUAGCCAUCAACAUGAAAGAUACAGGUAAGAAAUAAUUGACUACCACUACUUAAAAUUCCACAAUCAGUAUCAUAAAUAGUAAAUCAAGCCAUUUUAAUUUUAUUCCCACAUAAAUUUCCUUCAUGACAUUUUCAUUACAUAUACAUGACAAUCAUGUAUCAUGCAUGACAUUCACCGGGCUGGGGAGGGUUGGGUCGACGGGCAGUAGUAGGACGAGAACCUGAACUUCCUCCGGAGCUCCGACUUCGGCGAGCCAUCGUUAUGAAUCACACAGGAAAAGAAGAACGAGCAAAGAAACAGAGAAAGAUUAAAUACUUUAGGCUUUUAAUAAAAUGACAAGCUACGCUUUGCAUAAAAUGACAAGCUAAGGAAAAGUGUUUGGUUAAUAGGUAUUUAUAGAGUGCUG
rnacentral:misc_RNA from 1 species